GGAGAGGUGGCAGAGUGGUCGAAUGUACCUGACUCGAAAUCAGGCGUGAGCGCAAGCUCACCGUGGGUUCGAAUCCCACCCUCUCCGCCA
rnacentral:tRNA from 1 species